rnacentral:rRNA from 1 species
CCUACGGGAGGCAGCAGUAGGGAAUCUUCCGCAAUGGACGAAAGUCUGACGGAGCAACGCCGCGUGAGCGAAGAAGGCCUUCGGGUCGUAAAGCUCUGUUGUGAGGGACGAAGGAGCGCCGUUUGAACAAGGCGGCGCGGUGACGGUACCUCACGAGAAAGCCCCGGCUAACUACGUGCCAGCAGCCGCGGUAAU